CGUGGGGCAGCAGCCUUAUCUGGAUCGGGUUUCGCUGGCUAACGUGUUGUGCGAGCGAGCAAAAAAAACUUCAAUUCGUUGUCGACGAAACCUGCACGGAGUAAGGCACGGAGCACCA
rnacentral:pre_miRNA from 21 species